rnacentral:rRNA from 1 species
CAGCCGCCGCGGUAAAACGAAGGGUGCAAGCGUUAAUCGGAAUUACUGGGCGUAAAGCGUGCGUAGGCGGUUUGUUAAGUCUGCUGUGAAAUCCCCGGGCUCAACCUGGGAAUGGCAGUGGAUACUGGCAAGCUAGAGUGUGUCAGAGGAUGGUGGAAUUCCCGGUGUAGCGGUGAAAUGCGUAGAGAUCGGGAGGAACAUCAGUGGCGAAGGUGGCCAUCUGGGACAACACUGACGCUGAGGCACGAAAGCGUGGGGAGCAAACAGGAUUAGAUACCCCUGUAGUCCCUGUCUCUUAUAA